GGUGAGAGUGGCGAACGGGUGAGUAACACGUAGGUGAUCUACCCCUGGGGAUGGGGAUAGCCCAUGGAAACAUGGGAUAAUACCUGAUAAGCCCCAUACUUAGCUGUAUGGGGGAAAGGUGCGUAUGCACCGACCUGGGAUGAGCCUGCGGCCCAUUAGCUAGUUGGUGGGGUAAGGGCCUACCAAGGCGACGAUGGGUAGCCAGCCUGAGAGGGUGAACGGCCACACUGGGACUGAGACACGGCCCAGACUCCUACGGGAGGCAGCAGCUAAGAAUCUUCCGCAAUGGGCGAGAGCCUGACGGAGCGACGCCGCGUGGACGAAGAAGGCGGAAACGUUGUAAAGUCCUUUUCUUGGUGAAGAAUAAGGGUGCGAGGAAAUGCGCAUCUGAUGACGUUAGCCAAGGAAUAAGCCCCGGCCAAUUACGUGCCAGCAGCCGCGGUAACACGUAAGGGGCGAGCGUUGUUCGGAUUUAUUGGGCGUAAAGGGCGUGUAGGCGGUUCUGCAAGCCUGGUGUGAAAUAUCCCGGCUUAACCGGGGAGAUGCGCUGGGAACUGCAGGACUUGAGUUCUGGAGGGGAAGCUGGAAUUCCAGGUGUAGGGGUGAAAUCUGUAGAUAUCUGGAAGAACACCGGUGGCGAAGCGAGCUUCUGGCCAGAAACUGACGCUGAGGCGCGAAAGCGUGGGGAGCGAACAGGAUUAGAUACCCUGGUAGUCCACGCUGUAAACGAU
rnacentral:rRNA from 1 species